rnacentral:rRNA from 1 species
GGGAACGUACCCUUCGGUUCGGAAUAACUCAGGGAAACUUGAGCUAAUACCGGAUACGCCCUUUUGGGGAAAGGUUUACUGCCGAAGGAUCGGCCCGCGUCUGAUUAGCUUGUUGGUGGGGUAACGGCCUACCAAGGCGACGAUCAGUAGCUGGUCUGAGAGGAUGAUCAGCCACGCUGGGACUGAGACACGGCCCAGACUCCUACGGGAGGCAGCAGUGGGGAAUAUUGGACAAUGGGCGCAAGCCUGAUCCAGCCAUGCCGCGUGAGUGAUGAAGGCCUUAGGGUUGUAAAGCUCUUUUGUCCGGGACGAUAAUGACGGUACCGGAAGAAUAAGCCCCGGCUAACUUCGUGCCAGCAGCCGCGGUAAUACGAAGGGGGCUAGCGUUGCUCGGAAUCACUGGGCGUAAAGGGCGCGUAGGCGGCCGAUUAAGUCGGGGGUGAAAGCCUGUGGCUCAACCACAGAAUUGCCUUCGAUACUGGUUGGCUUGAGACCGGAAGAGGACAGCGGAACUGCGAGU